CCACAUUGGGACUGAGACACGGCCCAGACUCCUACGGGAGGCAGCAGUGGGGAAUAUUGCACAAUGGGGGAAACCCUGAUGCAGCGACGCCGCGUGGAGGAAGAAGGUCUUCGGAUUGUAAACUCCUGUUGUUGAGGAAGAUAAUGACGGUACUCAACAAGGAAGUGACGGCUAACUACGUGCCAGCAGCCGCGGUAAAACGUAGGUCACAAGCGUUGUCCGGAAUUACUGGGUGUAAAGGGAGCGCAGGCGGGAAGACAAGUUGGAAGUGAAAUCCAUGGGCUCAACCCAUGAACUGCUUUCAAAACUGUUUUUCUUGAGUAGUGCAGAGGUAGGCGGAAUUCCCGGUGUAGCGGUGGAAUGCGUAGAUAUCGGGAGGAACACCAGUGGCGAAGGCGGCCUACUGGGCACCAACUGACGCUGAGGCUCGAAAGUGUGGGUAGCAAACAGGAUUAGAUACCCUGGUAGUCCACACCGUAAACGAUGAUUACUAGGUGUUGGAGGAUUGACCCCUUCAGUGCCGCAGUUAACACAAUAAGUAAUCCACCUGGGGAGUACGACCGCAAGGUUGAAACUCAAAGGAAUUGACGGGGGCCCGCACAAGCAGUGGAGUAUGUGGUUUAAUUCGACGCAACGCGAAGAACCUUACCAAGUCUUGACAUCCUGCGACGCACAUAGAAAUAUGUGUUUCCUUCGGGACGCAGAGACAGGUGGUGCAUGGUUGUCGUCAGCUCGUGUCGUGAGAUGUUGGGUUAAG
rnacentral:rRNA from 1 species